rnacentral:rRNA from 1 species
CGGGACACGUGGUAUCCUGUCUGAAUAUGGGGGGACCAUCCUCCAAGGCUAAAUACUCCUGACUGACCGAUAGUGAACCAGUACCGUGAGGGAAAGGCGAAAAGAACCCCGGCGAGGGGAGUGAAAAAGAACCUGAAACCGUGUACGUACAAGCAGUGGGAGCCUCUUUUAUGGGGUGACUGCGUACCUUUUGUAUAAUGGGUCAGCGACUUAUAUUCUGUAGCAAGGUUAACCGAAUAGGGGAGCCGAAGGGAAACCGAGUCUUAACUGGGCGUUAAGUUGCAGGGUAUAGACCCGAAACCCGGUGAUCUAGCCAUGGGCAGGUUGAAGGUUGGGUAACACUAACUGGAGGACCGAACCGACUAAUGUUGAAAAAUUAGCGGAUGACUUGUGGCUGGGGGUGAAAGGCCAAUCAAACCGGGAGAUAGCUGGUUCUCCCCGAAAGCUAUUUAGGUAGCGCCUCGUGAAUUCAUCUCCGGGGGUAGAGCACUGUUUCGGCAAGGGGGUCAUCCCGACUUACCAACCCGAUGCAAACUGCGAAUACCGGAGAAUGUUAUCACGGGAGACACACGGCGGGUGCUAACGUCCGUCGUGAAGAGGGAAACAACCCAGACCGCCAGCUAAGGUCCCAAAGUCAUGGUUAAGUGGGAAACGAUGUGGGAAGGCCCAGACAGCCAGGAUGUUGGCUUAGAAGCAGCCAUCAUUUAAAGAAAGCGUAAUAGCUCACUGGUCGAGUCGGCCUGCGCGGAAGAUGUAACGGGGCUAAACCAU